rnacentral:tRNA from 1 species
UGCGCGUUGGUGUAAUGGUAACACAUUUGGUUCAUGCCCAUAGGCUGAGGGUUCGAUUCCCUCACUCGCAA